UACGUAGGGGGCAAGCGUUGUCCGGAUUUACUGGGCGUAAAGAGCGUGUAGGCGGCCAAGCAGGUCCGUUGUGAAAACUGGAGGCUUAACCUCCAGACGUCGACGGAAACCGCGUGGCUAGAGUCCGGAAGAGGAGAGUGGAAUUCCCGGUGUAGCGGUGAAAUGCGCAGAUAUCGGGAAGAACACCCGUGGCGAAGGCGGCUCUCUGGGACGGUACUGACGCUGAGACGCGAAAGCGUGGGGAGCGAACAGG
rnacentral:rRNA from 1 species